rnacentral:rRNA from 1 species
GAUGAACGCUGGCGGCGUGCUUAACACAUGCAAGUCGAACGGAAAGGCUCCUGCUUGCAGGGGUACUCGAGUGGCGAACGGGUGAGUAACACGUGGGUGAUCUGCCCUGCACUUCGGGAUAAGCCUGGGAAACUGGGUCUAAUACCGGAUAGGACGAUGGUUUGGAUGCCAUUGUGGAAAGUUUUUCGGUGUGGGAUGAGCUCGCGGCCUAUCAGCUUGUUGGUGGGGUAAUGGCCUACCAAGGCGUCGACGGGUAGCCGGCCUGAGAGGGUGUACGGCCACAUUGGCACUGAGAUACGGCCCAGACUCCUACGGGAGGCAGCAGUGGGGAAUAUUGCACAAUGGGCGCAAGCCUGAUGCAGCGACGCCGCGUGGGGGAUGACGGCCUUCGGGUUGUAAACUCCUUUCGCUAGGGACGAAGCGCAAGUGACGGUACCUGGAGAAGAAGCACCGGCUAACUACGUG